rnacentral:rRNA from 1 species
GACGAACGCUGGCGGCGUGCUUAACACAUGCAAGUCGAACGGAAAGGCUCCAGCUUGCUGGAGUACUCGAGUGGCGAACGGGUGAGUAACACGUGGGUAAUCUGCCCUGCACUCUGGGAUAAGCCUGGGAAACUGGGUCUAAUACUGGAUAUGACCUUUCUCCUUAUGGGGUUUGGUGGAAAGUUUUUCGGUGUAGGAUGAGCCCGCGGCCUAUCAGCUUGUUGGUGGGGUGAUGGCCUACCAAGGCGACGACGGGUAGCCGGCCUGAGAGGGUGAUCGGCCACAUUGGGACUGAGAUACGGCCCAGACUCCUACGGGAGGCAGCAGUGGGGAAUAUUGCACAAUGGGCGGAAGCCUGAUGCAGCGACGCCGCGUGAGGGAUGACGGCCUUCGGGUUGUAAACCUCUUUCAGCAGGGACGAAGCGUAAGUGACGGUACCUUCAGAAGAAGCACCGGCUAACUAUGUG